GCUAGUAAUCGCGAAUCAGAAUGUCGCGGUGAAUAACGUUCCCGGGCCUUGUACACACCGCCCGUCACACCAUGAGAGUCGAUAACACCCGAAGCCUGUGAGCUAACCUUUUAGGAGGCAGCAGUCGAAGGUGGGGUUGAUGAUUGGGGUGAAGUCGUAACAAGGUAUC
rnacentral:rRNA from 1 species